CCCUUAGAUGUUCUGGGCCGCACGCGUGUUACAAUCGGGAGUACAACAAGAUUGCAAAUCCUAGUGGAUGAGUGGUUCUUCGAAAUUUUCUGAAGACUGGGAUAGUUGAUUGAAAUUAUUCAACUCGAACGAGGAAUUCCUUGUAAUUGUAAUUCAUUAUAUUGUAAUGAAUACGUCCCUGCCCUUUGUACACACCGCCCGUCGCUCCUACCGAUUGAACGAUCCGGUGAAUUAUUUGGAGUAGCUCUGGAAGUUGCAGAACUUCCUAUGUCACGAAAUUUUGUAAACCUUAUCGUUUAGAGGAAGGAAAAGUCGUAACA
rnacentral:rRNA from 1 species